UAUUAUUACUAUUAUUAUUAUUAUUAUUAUAAAAAUAGAAUUUCUAAAGAACAAUGAAUAAUUAUUAUCCAGAUGAAACAUUCGACUAAACAGGAUUCAUUUGAAUAAUACAGCUGUUUAUCAACCCAGAUUUUAUAAUGGUCCCACCACAUGGAGGUUGCUGCAUAUGGAGACCCACGGGCUAAAGACUCUACUGUUAAUAUCAAUUACUUUGGAAUUAUAUAAAAUUAAUUGUAUAAUAUCAUUAUUAUAACAUAUUCAAUAAUAAUUAUUAUAAUUUGGAAAAAGAAAAAACAAUCACGAGACGAAUUACAAAUUUUUUUCUAAUCAACCAUAAUUAGAUGAAAAUUUAUGAAUCCGUUUGAUAUCGACCUACAUACCCGGU